CCUACGGGAGGCAGCAGUAAGGAAUCUUCCACAAUGGACGAAAGUCUGAUGGAGCAACGCCGCGUGCAGGAUGAAGGCUUUCGGGUCGUAAACUGCUUUUAUAUGGGAAGAUUAUGACGGUACCAUAUGAAUAAGGACCGGCUAACUACGUGCCAGCAGCCGCGGUAAUACGUAGGGUCCAAGCGAUAUCCGGAAUUACUGGGCGUAAAGCGUGUGUAGGUGGAUUAAUAAGUGUGAUGCGAAAUCCGGCGGCUCAACCGUUUGGACUGUGUCGCAUACUGUUAGUCUAGAGGACGGCAGAGGUAAGUGGAAUUACGGGUGUAGCAGUGAAAUGCGUAGAUAUCCGUAGGAACACCAAUGGCGAAGGCAGCUUACUGGGCCACACCUGACACUGAGACACGAAAGCGUGGGGAGCGAACAGGAUUAGAUACCCUGGUAGUCCACGCCGUAAACGAUGCAUACUAUUAGUAUGGGGUAUCGACCCCCUGUGCUGAGAAGCUAACGCGAUAAGUAUGCCGCCGUCGGGAGGUACGAGCGCAGACUAAACUACAANAGAGUAGACGCGUGAGACGUGCCGACGGACGACGACGAGGGAGGAGG
rnacentral:rRNA from 1 species